CUUCCUUUGCUGGCGACCGGCGCACGGGUGAGUAACACGUAUCCAACCUGCCCUUUACUCGGGGAUAGCCUUUCGAAAGAAAGAUUAAUACCCGAUAGCAUAAUGAUUCCGCAUGGUUUCAUUAUUAAAGGAUUCCGGUAAAGGAUGGGGAUGCGUUCCAUUAGGUUGUUGGUGAGGUAACGGCUCACCAAGCCUUCGAUGGAUAGGGGUUCUGAGAGGAAGGUCCCCCACAUUGGAACUGAGACACGGUCCAA
rnacentral:rRNA from 1 species